CGGGUGCGAGGAAGAUGGUAAUCCACUUGUUUUGGGAACAAGAUAAACCGAGUUCGAUUCUCGGGCAUCCGAC
rnacentral:tRNA from 1 species